rnacentral:rRNA from 1 species
GACAGAGGCCUCGAGCGUUAGGCGGAAUCACUGGGCUUAAAGCGUGUGUAGGCGGACCCCUAAGUACCUUGUGAAAUCCCACGGCUCACCCGUGGAACCGCUGGGUAUACUGGGGGUCUUGGGCCACUCAGGGGCGACUGGAACAAGCGGUGGAGCGGUGAAAUGCGUAGAUAUCGCUUGGAACGCCGAAGGUGAAAACAGGUCGCUGGGAGUGCGCCGACGCUGAGACACGAAAGCCAGGGGAGCAAACGGGAUUAGAUACCCCGGUAGUCCUGGCCCUAAACGAUGUCCACUAGAUCGCGGCCCCUUGACGGGGUCGCGGUCGGAGCAAAAGUGUUAAGUGGACCGCCUGGGAAGUACGGUCGCAAGGCUAAA